rnacentral:rRNA from 1 species
GACGAACGCUGGCGGCGUGCUUAACACAUGCCAGUCGAACGCUGAAGACCUGUCUUUUGUUGGGUUGGAUGAGUGGCGAACGGGUGAGUAACACGUGAGUAACCUGCCCUCUUCUUUGGGAUAACGCCCGGAAACGGGUGCUAAUACUGGAUAUUCACUGAUCUUCGCAUGGGGUGUGGUGGAAAGGUUUGUUCUGGUGGGGGAUGGGCUCGCGGCCUAUCAUCUUGUUGGUGGGGUGAUGGCCUACCAAGGCUUUGACGGGUAGCCGGCCUGAGAGGGUGACCGGUCACAUUGGGACUGAGAUACGGCCCAGACUACUACGGGAGGCAGCAGUGGGGAAUAUUGCACAAUGGGCGAAAGCCUGAUGCAGCGACGCCGCGUGAGGGAUGGAGGCCUUCGGGUUGUAAACCUCUUUCGCUCAUGGUCAAGCCGCAACUGUGGGUUGUGGUGAGGGUAGUGGGUAAAGAAGCGCCGGCUAACUACGUG